rnacentral:rRNA from 1 species
UACGUAGGGGGCAAGCGUUGUCCGGAAUCAUUGGGCGUAAAGAGCGCGUAGGCGGUCCGGUAAGUCCGCUCUGAAAAGCCCAGGGCUCAACCCUGGGAGGCGGGUGGAUACUACGGAACUGGAGUACGGAAGAGGAGAUUGGAAAUUCCUGGUGUAGCGGUGAAAAUGCGCAGAUAUCAGGAGGAACACCAACAGCGAAAGGCAGAUCUCUGGGGACG